UAACAACUCACCUGCCGAAU
rnacentral:ncRNA from 2 species